UAAUACUGGAUAGGCAAUUAUUCCUGUAAUGGUUUUUUGUUUAAAUGUUUUUUCACCUAAGGAUGGGUCUGCGGCCGAUUAGGUAUUUGGUUAGGUAAUGGCUUACCAAGCCUUUGAUCGGUACGGGUUGUGAGAGCAAGAGCCCGGAGAUGGAACCUGAGACAAGGUUCCAGGCCCUACGGGGUGCAGCAGGCGCGAAACCUCCGCAAUGUGAGAAAUCGCGACGGGGGGAUCCCAAGUGCCAUUCUUAACGGGAUGGCUUUUCUUUAGUGUAAAAAGCUUUUGGAAUAAGAGCUGGGCAAGACCGGUGCCAGCCGCCGCGGUAACACCGGCAGCUCUAGUGGUAGCAAUUUUUAUUGGGCCUAAAGCGUCCGUAGCCGGUUUAAUAAGUCUCUGGUGAAAUCCUGUAGCUUAACUGUGGGAAUUGCUGGAGAUACUAUUAGACUUGAGACCGGGAGAGGUUAGAGGUACUCCCAGGGUAGAGGUGAAAUUCUGUAAUCCUGGGAGGACCGCCUGUUGCGAAGGCGUCUAACUGGAACGGUUCUGACGGUGAGGGACGAAAGUUAGGGGCGCGAACCGGAUUAGAUACCCGGGUAGUCCUAACUGUAAACGAUGCGGACUUGGUGUUG
rnacentral:rRNA from 1 species